rnacentral:rRNA from 1 species
UACGUAGGGUGCAAGCGUUGUCCGGAAUUAUUGGGCGUAAAGAGCUCGUAGGCGGUCUGUCGCGUCUGCUGUGAAAACUCAGGGCUUAACCCUGAGCUUGCAGUGGGUACGGGCAGACUAGAGUGCGGUAGGGGAGACUGGAAUUCCUGGUGUAGCGGUGAAAUGCGCAGAUAUCAGGAGGAACACCGGGUGGGCGAAGGCGGGGUCUCUGGGCCGUAAACUGA